GGUGGCUAAGUAGUAGAGCGCUUGCCUUACAUGCAUGAAGCUCUGGGUUCAAUUCCUCAGCACCA
rfam:Dipodomys ordii contig_11560, whole genome shotgun sequence.